AUGCAGGGCGACGGCGAGGUGCUGUUCCUGGGCGGCGUCGGGGAGGUCGCCGUCACCCUCGGCCACGACGGCCUCUCCUUCCUGCCUCUCCACCCGGAAUUGGGUUCUUCAUGUUUGUCAUCUAUCGGAUUACUACCAAAAUUAGAGAAUAAAAUCAAGUUUUCGGAUGUUUAUGCUGUGGAGCUUCUUGAUGAAGGUCCUGUAUGUGGACCUUGGAAUACAAGAAUUGUCGCCCAAGGCAAGAAAAAUAGUGAGAUGCACCGCUUUGCCGUACAUGUAAUCACCAGAUCAAGAAAACACCCUUCUCAAUUGGUACCUUGUGAAUAUCUUUUUGGACACAAAGACCCGGAGACCUGCAAAAGCUGGGUUGAGCAUCUCAGUGCAUGCAUAAAUAAUGAACAGGACAGGCCCAAGAACCUGAUGGUGUUUGUCCAUCCACUUUGUGGAAAAGGUAGAGGUUGCAAAAAUUGGGAAAUGGUAGCUCCUUUAUUUGACCGGGCGAAAGUAAAUACAAAGGUGAUAAUCACGGAGAGAGCAGGACAUGCAUAUGACACCUUAGCAUCAAUAUCAGAUAAAGAGCUCAAGAAAUUUGACGGUGUUGUUGCAGUGGGUGGUGAUGGUUUAUUUAAUGAAAUCCUGAAUGGACUACUAAAUUCGAGGAAUAAGAUUUCUUAUCCUCCAACUCCAGAGGGCUUUGGAUAUUUUGGAAGCACUGAGAAAUGCCAAGGAUGCAGGAACGAUGGGCUAAACAACAGUACGGCCACAUCAGAUGCUGUAAAUGUCAUGCUCCGUGUGGGUUCCAACAAAUCUGAUGAUCAUGAACCUCUUCUUUCGACUGGAAAAUCUGUUGUUGGAUUAGACAUCUCAUCAUUAAAUCCAAAUACAGAAUCAUCUACUGGAGAUCAAGUUCCUCCAGUCUUCUUCCCAAAUGAUUGGUUUAGGCUUGGCAUAAUUCCUUCUGGCUCAACAGAUGCUAUUGUACUCAGCACAACUGGGGAACGAGAUGCUGUGACUUCUGCCCUGCUUAUUAUCUUUGGUAGAAGGAUAGCGCUUGAUAUAGCUCAAGUAGUCAGGUGGAAGAGUAGCCCAUCAGCUGAGGUUUUACCUACUGUACGCUAUGCAGCUUCAUUUGCAGGAUAUGGAUUUUAUGGAGAAGUCAUAAGGGAGAGUGAAAACUACCGAUGGAUGGGCCCUGCACGUUAUGAUUUUUCUGGAACUAUGGUCUUCCUGAAGCACAGAUCUUAUGAUGCAAAAGUGGCUUUUCUUGAGAAUGAGAACUCUCAUUCAUUUGCUGCAUCAGCAGAGAAUGUUGCAGAUGAAGUACAACCACUGCAAUCUCGUAGAAAAAGAUCUCGCAAAACAAUUUGCCAAGCAAAUUGUUCUGUAUGCAAAGAAACUUCAACGCCUGGACAAAAUUCAGAAGAUGAGAUUCCAAACAGCUCUCAAACGAUUCAUAAUAACCCAAAAUGGAUCUGGUCCGAGGGGCGUUUUCUAAGUGUCGGUGCAGCUGUCAUUUCAUGUCGCAAUGAAAGAGCCCCUGAUGGCCUAGUGGCUGAAGCACACCUCUCAGAUGGUUUUCUACACCUUCUGCUCAUUAGAGAUUGCCCUCUUCCCUUAUAUUUGUGCCGUUCUAUCUGCAGGCAUCUGACACAAUUUACUAAGAAGGGGUCGGACCCUUUAACCUUCAAGUUUGUUGAACAUCAUAAGACACGAGCAUUUACCUUCAUCUCAUCACACGACGAAAGCGUAUGGAACUUGGAUGGCGAGCUUUUUCAGGCCUGCGAAGUGUCUGUCCAAGCUUGCCGGGGCCUUGUCAACCUCUUCGCGUCAGGGCCAGAGGUGUAG
rnacentral:rRNA from 1 species